AUAUUCAGCACACUACUGAAGUCACAUGCAGGGUGCUUGUCACUCAGUGUUCAGUACCUCUGGGAAGGUCUGAGACAAGAGCUGGUAACUCAAGUAGAUGAGUUACCAGCUAUGCUGGGCCAUGAGUGUGGGGCAAAUUGGGCAGGAGAAGCUAGAGGAGCCCCCCUAGUGGAUGCCCAGCCCCCUCCCAAGGGUUUGGGACAGACUCGUGGCUAGCAGCUCUGAGUUCAAUGGGAAGGCCAAAUAUUCAGAGUUUGUUUGUUAAAACUUGGGUACACCACACCCAUCAGUGUAGAUUAUGGAUCCCAGUUCAUACACAUGAUAU
ensembl:ribozyme RNaseP_nuc Nuclear RNase P